CAGUCAUCCUUUAAAGAAAGCGUAACAGCUCACUGAUCAAGCGCCUCUGCGCGGAAAAUGUAUCGGGACUAAAGUUAUUCGCCGAAAUUGCGGACUCGAAAGAGUGGUAGCGGAGCGUUCCGUAAGCCUGUGAAGGUGAACCGUGAGGUUUGCUGGAGGUAUCGGAAGUGAGAAUGCUGACAUGAGUAGCGAUAAAGAGGGUGAGAGACCCUCUCGCCGAAAGUCCAAGGGUUCCUGCGUAAAGCU
rnacentral:rRNA from 18 species